UAGUUAAUAACGCGACCGCGUAGCAACGAAUAUAUUACAAAUUGCGGUUAACUUACAUACACUCCUACUUAAAUAUUUUAGAAAAUUUUUUUUCUUUUGUUGUUUUUUGUUGUUUACGGGUUUACUUCCAACUGUGCCACAGAAUUUAUUUGAGUGUAUUUACGAGUAUUUGUAAUACAUAUAGGUUCCUCACCUUAUGCAUUCACAGUGAACGUCAAAAAAAUAUGUAUUUGAACCAGCAGAAGCAUAAAAUUAAGUUGGAAUCAUAUAAAGUAAACGAAAAUUGUGUGAUUUAACUUUUAAGCUAAAAGGCCAAAGAAGUAUUGAGACAAAUCACAUACGCGCAAUACGUUGUUGGCUAUAUACAUACAUGCAUACAUAUUGAAUACUAAGGCAUAACAAAAAAAAAUUAUAUACAUAAAU